GGCCCUAUCUCGCCUGAAAGUUCUAUCGGUGUCCGCCUUUUCUUCGAAAGCCCUGACCCUCCUUGGCAUCUUCUUUGCCCUAGGCAUCCUUCGAGUCAUCCCUAUCCUCGCCCCUCUGCAUCCUUCAGAGCGAUCUAGGUUAGUCCCAGAACCUUCAUUUUUCUUCCUGCCAUUUAGGGGCCUUUUCUCCUCCAUUUUCUUCUGUCGUAUUCCUCUGAGUUAGUCUCCCGCGACCUCUCGUCCUUUGUCCCGUCUGUUUUCUUCGAGAUCUUUAGGGUCUUCAUUUGAAGUUAUUCAAAAUGUCUUCCGGCACCUCCGUCACUAGCGGCUCUGGGAGUUCUUCUGCCUCAGCCCCCCAGGAGCCCCGCUCUAUAGACGAACCCACUGAUGGGACUGGGCUUCGCCCGACUUUUGUGCCGGGUGCCAUUCCCUGCUCCCUGACUCCGGAUGAACU
rnacentral:lncRNA from 1 species